rnacentral:rRNA from 1 species
GAUGAACGCUGGCGGCGUGCCUAAUACAUGCAAGUAGAACGCUGAAGGAAGGAGCUUGCUCUUUCCGGAUGAGUUGCGAACGGGUGAGUAACGCGUAGGUAACCUGCCUGGUAGCGGGGGAUAACUAUUGGAAACGAUAGCUAAUACCGCAUAACAGUAGAUGUUGCAUGAUAUCUACUUAAAAGGUGCAAUUGCACCACUACCAGAUGGACCUGCGUUGUAUUAGCUAGUUGGUGAGGUAACGGCUCACCAAGGCGACGAUACAUAGCCGACCUGAGAGGGUGAUCGGCCACACUGGGACUGAGACACGGCCCAGACUCCUACGGGAGGCAGCAGUAGGGAAUCUUCGGCAAUGGACGGAAGUCUGACCGAGCAACGCCGCGUGAGUGAAGAAGGUUUUCGGAUCGUAAAGCUCUGCUGUAAGAGAAGAACGAGUGUGAGAGUGGAAAGUUCACACUGUGACGGUAUCUUACCAGAAAGAGACGGCUAACUACGUG